UUCAAGCCCUAGUACAGGUCAACCUCACUUUGCAAACACCGCUUUGCCCACUUCCUCAUCAGUGGAUUUAAGAGUUGUGGCAGGAGUCCAACAAACAGAUGAGAGCUUUCAAAUGGUACUUAUUUCUCCUACUGCCAACAACCAUCUUGGCUUUGCUCAUGGAGCCAAAAAUAUCUUUCAUACAAGCCACAAGGAGACUGUUGGCCUGGGUUAGAACCAAAACCAACUUCCAAAGACCAUAGUAUUUAUACUAAUAAGAGCUAAUAAGUGACUCUGUCAACAACCUCGCUGCGCUCAAUCCGAGAUGUCUCUUGCACACCACUCUGCAUCUGAGCAAGGAAUGAACCGUGUGGCUACACCGGUGGGAUUGCUGCACCAAUGCUUGCCUUUUCAGCUCUGGGGUUCUGCUAAAUUUCCAGAGAAAUAGAAUCAGAAGAUCUGAUUUUACAUUUCAGUACCUUGAACUUAGUGAGAAUUUUCAAAAAACGUUAUAAUAUUCAACGGUAAUUUAUGCAGAUAAGUAAACGGAUGCUUUUAAAGAACGUUUAAAGCUUGCACUAUCUUUUGGUAAACGUGAUUAGUGUUUCUUGCAGAGGAUUUGUGGGAGAAUUAACAUAUAGGCAAACAGAAUGUUUUUCCUUUCCUGUGUGUAAGAAUGCCUGUGUGUGGCCUUCCAUAUCUUAACAAAAUAAAGUUCACUCUAUUCCCCUCACUAAUUACACUCCAGCAGGUGAGGCCCUGGUUAACUGAUUUCCCCUGAGGGUGGGCCUUUUUAAGAACAGAGCUUGCUGGCAUAUUUUAAAAUGUUUCCUUUCCCCAUCUCCCUGCUGGAAACGUGAGAUUUCAGCAGAAAAAUCCCUGCUUGAUUUUUCUUCAAUAUGUGCUGUGGGACGUUGGUCAACUUCUUGGAGGGACUGCAGCCUGCCAGACUCCUCCAGCUCCUGCCAUGAGUUUCUCCAGGUGGGAGUCAGAAGCUUGUGUAGCGGGAGGCUUGGCAGGUGAGCCCAAGAGGAGCAAAGCAACGUGGGCAGAGCAGAGGGCUGUUUCCAGGAGGAUGUUGAGACGUGCUGCAGGAAGAAGAACCUGGACGCUCCAGAACUUGGGAAAGAUGUACCAGACGGUCUUGGAGUAAAUCUGGAAAUUACAAGAUGUGAGAUCAAAUGGAAGACCCAGCUGAGAAUGAGAACAAGAUCUUGCUGGGACAUAGCAGGACCUGAUAAAUCUCUGCUGAAUAUAUUUCAAGGACAGCCAAGGGGAGGGUUAAUUGCACAAUUUGGGUUUUGUGCAAAUAAAAUAUCUGCACUAAAUAUUUCAUUA